GAUGCCUAGUGGUUACAGCAUCUGCCUUGGAUGCAGGAGGUCACAGGUUUGAACCCGGACUGAGACA